AGGUGUAUUAAACAUGAGGUGUAUUAAACAUGAGGUGUAUUAAACGGUGGCAGCAUUAGGAAGGUUCAGAACCACUGAACAGAAGGAAGGUAUGAAUAACCAGAAUCCGUAUGAAUAGCCAGAUUAGUUGGGAGUUCAAGUUCUAGUUACCAGGCACCAGCACUGGGUAAAGACUAGGCAGUGUUCUGCUUUGAGAUAUGGAGCUGGCUGAGUGUUUGUUUUUGAGAUCAGGACUCAUUCUCUAGCCCAAGCUGGCCAUGACCUCCAAGCUAGUCUCCUAAGUGCAAAGCUGAUAGGCAUGAGACAUUAUGUCGGCUAAGGCUAUUUCAGUUUUAGCAACAGUAAUUACCUGCUGUUGCUGUACAGAACGGAUGGCAUCUCACAGGGCCAAGUUUAUUGAGCACUCCUCAAGCAGAGUAAGCCAGAGUGAUAGAACGAAAACACCAGGCGUACUUAUAGUGGAAUAGAUGGACUUGGGAAGGAACCCAAGAAGAAUGAACGUGCCUAUAGACAAACCUCGUGGGAGGCCACUUGCGGACAAGCCAGCUUCCUCAAGCAUGACUGAAAGGUAAAGAGAACCCAGACUGUGCUAAGCUAACCGUCCUUAGUGUCAUUUAACAGCACCCUGUAGUUUACCCACUCCCUGCUGCUGUUUAUUACCUAAACACUAUAGCUGAAACAUCACCCUGUGCAGCAGAGCUAAGGAGAAUUGGCCCGUAUGCCAGCUGCCUUUGUGUAACCUCGAGUCUCCUCAGGUGACCUGGCCCUAGCUAAGUGGCUGCGUGGGGGAAUGACCUGGGACUAAAGAAAACCUGCCCUCCGCUUCGCACGGCUGUCCCCAAGUCCAGUCUGGAAGCUGCUGGCUUUGUCACCCCUUCGGGCCCUGCCACAGUUCCCUGCCAGCGCCAGCGGCAGGGGAGGCGUUGUCUCUGGGGUAGGGAGAAGUGCUCCCCGGCGUAGGCCUGGAAGGGGCGGUGCUCGGGAUCCUCGGGGCUGGACCGCCCAGAACCCUGAACCGAAAGCAGCCUGGGGAGGCGGGGAGGAAGGAGAGGUGGUUGUAGGCUGAGAGGUGUAAGCCCGCCCGGAAUGCCCGCCGCUGCUGCUUGGGAGCCAUGGCUCUGCGGCUGGUCACUCACUUCGAUGUGCUGGAGGACGUGCUCCCGAGUCUGCUCACACAGGCGGCGACAACGGACGAAGGAGACAGAGCAGGUGUUUUAGAAACAACUUAUGGGAGCUUACGUGUACUAAACAUCGAAAGAAAUGGAAACAUUAUUUAUACCUAUAAGGACAAUAAGGGAAACGCUGUUUUUGGAUUAUAUGAUUGCCAAACCAGACAGAAUGAGCAUCUGUACACCUUUGAGAAGGACAUGCAAGCUGUCAGUUGUUCAGUCAACAGUGAGAGAACAGUGCUUGCUGCGAGUUUCAUUCAGUAUACCACAGAGGGAGUAAAGAAUGACCUUCAGCCAGGAUCGAAGUGCCUAACUUUGCUGGUAGAAAUACACCCUGUUAACAACGUGAAGGUUCUGAAAGCAGUGGAUAGCUGUGUUUGGGUACAGUUCCUCUACCCACAAGCUGAAAGUCAUCUUCUUCCACAGAACCACCUGCUACUGAUCUCAGAAGAGAAAUAUAUUGAGCGGUUUCAUAUCCAGAUCACCAGAGAAGAUGGAGACAGAGUGGUGAUUAGAAAUUCUAGCCAUCUCCCAAGAGACAGACUAGCUGAAGACUUUGUUUGGGCUCAGUGGGAUCUGUCAGAGCAGAGACUAUACUACAUUGAACUAAAGGAGUCAAGGAGUAUCUUGAAAUGCAUCCAGUUUAGGGCAGAUGAAAGUUUUAACUUAAUGUUUGAAAUGCCCUUGGACAUAACGUUAACUGGCUUGAGAUUUAAACUUGUCAACUUUGGAUAUGACUAUCGUCAAGACCGUGAGAAGCUGUGCAAUCAGCCUUCUCUCUGCAUUUUUACCAACCAUACAGGGAGUUUGUGUAUGUGUUACAGCCCUAAGUCUGACUCACGGGAAGAAAUCACAUAUUCAGUGUUCUACCUCCAUAAAGGAUACAGAAAGAUCUUCACUGCAGCUCCUGGAAGUGCUGACUCACAGGUCACAAACGGUGCUGACUCACAGGUCACAGACGGCAUCGCUUUCCUCAACCUUGGCUACUUUGUGGCUGUUUACUCCCCUGGCCAUUUCCUUCAUUUACUUAACAUUCAGCAUCCAGACUUGGUCUGCCACAGUCUGUUUCUGACAGGAAACAACAAAAUAGCUGCUGUGCUACCUCCAAGUCCUUUGCAGUCCCUGCCGGGGUCCCUGGUUCUGGACUGCUAUUCUGGAAAGGUCUAUAGAGUAACCCUUGACCAGUCAUACUUGUUGCGGUUCCUAUGGAACGCCCAUCUCGACUGUGAGAGAAUGGCUGCACUGCACUGUAUACUAUCCUGUAGUCAAGACCCAGGUUUCCCGGAAGAACAGAUUAUCCAGUGGAUUUCGGAGCAUGUCUCUGCUUGCCAUUCAUUUGACCUCAUUCAAGAAUUUCUAAUUGCUUCCUCCUAUUGGAGUGUGUAUGCAGAGCUGGACGACAUGGGCAUGCUCCUACAAUACUCCUCUGUGCUGACUUGGAACACAGAAAUUCCCGGAAUAAAGUUUACGACAGAGGAACUCCCAUUGCCUCUUAUGAAGGUCUACGGCUUGAAGGGGUACUGGGCAAAGCUGAACUCCAACCUUGAGUACAUUAAGUAUACAAAACCUCACUUGCACUAUCACAACAGCGUCGUGAGGAGGGAAUGGCAUAACCUGAUCUCUGAAGAGAGAACGGGCAAAAGGAGAUCCACAAUGUACGUGAGGAACAUUCUUGAAAACGCAAUGAAGGUGAUUGCUAGCAUGGAAACGAGGACACUGGAGCCAAGAUUAAUACCAUUCUUACAAGAGGAAGACCGGCACCAGAGGCUGCUCAUGGGCUUGAUGGUGUCUGAGCUAAGAGACCACCUACUGAGACACCUGCAGGGUGUAGAAAAGAAGAAAAUUGAACAGAUGGUUCUGGACUACAUUUCAAAACUGCUGGAUCUCAUUUGGUGCUUGCUGGAAACCAGUUGGAGGAAACACAGUAUGCAUCCAUUGGUUCUCCACCUCAAUAGCCAUUGCAGUGCUGCAGAUUUUGAAGUCUUUCAUCUCAUGACCAGGAUUUUGGAUGCUGCUAGCAGUUUGUGUUUGCCUCUGCCUCCUGGUUUCCACUCUCUGCACACGAUCCUUGGGGUCCACUGCCUCCCUUUGUACAGCCUUCUGCACUACAUUGAUAACGGAGUGCUGCUGCUUACUGAGACCGCGGUCACGAGGCUUAUGAAAGAUCUGGACAAUUCAGAGAAAAAUGAACAACUGAAAUUCAGCAUCAUUGUCCGGCUCCCUCCGCUUAUUGGCCAGAAGGUCUGCCGGCUUUGGGACCACCCCAUGAGUUCCAAUAUCAUUUCACGGAACCAUGUGGCCCGGCUGCUGAAAAACUACAGGAAAGAGCCUCGGAACUCCAUGAUUGACAAAUCAUCAUUUCCGGUAGAAUUUCUGCCUCUGAACUACUUCAUCGAAAUUCUGAUGGGCCUGGAGUCCUCCAACCAAGCACUGUAUGGCUUUGAAGGACAUGACAAUGUGGACGCAGAAUUUGUAGAGGAAGCUGCUCUGAAACACACCACCAUGCUUUUGGGCUUAUGAAAGUGGACGUGCAGACGGACGAUUUCAAUAUUUUCACCUCCCUUUUCUGGAAACUUUCCCACUGUCUUUAAGAUUGGGAACAGAUGAAUGCAAAGCAAAGCAAAGCAAAACAAAGGGGAAACUAGUGUAACCUUGAAUAAUUAGGAAGACUGCAUGGGCAAAAUGAGAUGCCCAUGAGGAAGGCUCCAUGUCUCUGAUAUGGGAUGGAGAGGUAAGCAAGCAUCCCCUGCUGCAAACAUACUUAGAAUGAGCUAUUCUCCAUGCUCUACUCUCACGGGCUGGAAACCAUAGCUCAGAGUGCUACUUGGGGCCAGGAAAUCUUAUAAACUAUGACAGAAAAUCACAAAUGCUUAGUUUGUCAACUAAAAGCUCCUAGCUGAUUCUUUCUGAUUCUUUUCAGCAUUCUGAAUGAAGGAUGAUCACUAUAGUCAUGCAUUGUGCUAAGUUUUGAUUUCUGGAUUGUGUUCUUCUAACACAAUGUAUAUGUAUGUUUAUUUUCUUCAUUGACCAUUCUAUAUGUAUAUGUUGCAUUCUGGUUAAAUUCUCUAUAAAACUCAGCCCUCUGGUUUCUUCAGAAUUGUUUUGAGUUGCAAGUACCUAGGAGUCCUCAGACUUCAUCACAGAGUCUGGGGGUGACUGUAUGAGCUAGGCAACUGUGUCAGCCAGUGAAAUGGGAAGAAUCCUGGGUAGGAUUCCCCAGAAAGUAACUCUUUUCAUGUUCAAAGACUGAGUGAGGUAACUCAGGCCCAGAAAGUCAAAUGCCACAGGCUCCCUCAUCUGCAGUUCCUAGCUUAGGAUCUUUAGAUGUGAGUGUGUCACCCAGAAUAACUGCAGAUAUCAGGAAAGUAAAAAGCAGGCCAUGGAGAAGGGCUCCAAAGAGGGCAAUAGUAGGACACAGUUGUGAGAGAAGAAAUGGGAAAAACUUGGGGUGGAGGCUUAGCUGGGGAUGCAGGCGGGGCAACUAAGAGAGAAAGGAAAGAAGGAGGGAUAAAUGAUACCAUUGAUGUUUGAAAAGCCGUAGGGAAUCAUAUUAUUUUUUAAAAAAUUACAUAGCAUAUCUAUCUAUCCAUGCUGUGUGUGUGUGUUCACUGAAGUUAUAGUACUUGGGGGUGGCAAUGUUCUCUCCCAAACUAUAGACCAUCUAGCAAAAACUCAAGUGUCAGGUAUGGGAAACCUUUUGAGUUGCUGAUCAGAGGAGUCCAAGAGAUCUACCCCCAAAACUAUAUAGGCUAUUGUUGUUGUCCUUGAUUGCCUUUCAGAGAAAGAAGGCAAGACCCGAUUGCUGACCACAUACACUUCAGACACAGGACUUGGAGGAACUGAGCUGGACCUGAGCUGGAAGCCUCUACCCCAAGAACUAGCUCUCAUAGUAACAAAAGGAGCUGCCAAGGGAGAAAAGCAAUCAAUAGUCUUAUGCAGCUGUAAUGCCUGUGAACCACAACCAUCAGAAUGUCAAGAUAUUCUGAAAGGUACAAUAGUGGCCUAUAUCCUGGGGUGGUCACUUAAGACCCUCAAUACGAGGGAAUUCAUGCCUGUUUCAUGACUACUCAUGACUGAUGAGGUCACCGACCCCAGAGGAAAACCUAUGCCACCUCUUUCCUAAGCCAGGAUAGUGUCUAACUGCACACUAAAUACUUGCCAUGAUAGCCGUGGAGAAGUAUGGCUCUCACCCUCACCAAGAAGCUCCUUUGUACAACAUCAUGGAAGGCUGCAGCUGGCCAGACUGCAGUGAGCAACCAAGUGAGAGGUGGCCAGGACCAGCCAAUAGAUACAUCUGCAACAGAACCCUCCACUGAGACUCGGGAAGAAGCCAGAAAGACUGUGAAAGCCAGAGAACCAGGAAUCUGAAACACUGGGACUUCCAAAAAGAUUUUUGAAAAGAAGACAUAAAAUAGAGGGAGGGGGAGGAUUGAGGAGGGUGGACCUGGGGGAGCUGGAGGGGAAAGUUGGGAUGAAUACAAUUAGAAUAUGUGGCAAAUCCUCAGAGAAAUACUAUAAACAUAUUUAUAAAAGACAAAGUCAGCCAAGCUGGUCAUCACUUUCUUGUGGAAUGGUCAUCUUGUGACCAUUGAGAAGAAAUACAGUAAAGAUGGCCAAGAGAGAGCUAAAAUAAUUCUGAGCUUUUUUGUGAUGUGAAAUUACUUGAUGUACCCAUAUCUACACUUUUUAUUAUACGAACAAAAUGUUCUCUUGCUUAGGAGAGUUACACUAGUUUUCUGUUACUCACUGAAACCAAGCUGCAAACCUAAUUGCUGUCUUUUGAAAGGAAAUCUUCUAACGGUCAUCUCCAAAACAUGUUAAAGGUCAUGCUGAAGUCUCCACUGAAGUGUCAGAAAAAUAGCUUCUCAAUUUUGGGAUCAAAGAUGAUGUCAAACACUUAGGAUUAACUUUGAGCCCCAAGUUGCAUAUGUGGCCAAGUUUUAUAUGAUUGUGUAUGCUUAGUUCUUAGAUUUGGUUUUUAUUUCAUGUUUAAAAUGUAUUCAUUGUACCCAUACAGUAGAUCUACAUAAAAAAAA